UACGGGGGGUGCGAGCGUUGUCCGGAAUCAUUGGGCGUAAAGGGCGCGUAGGUGGCGGGACAAGCGUGCGGUGAAAGCUCGGGGCUCAACCCCGAGUCGGCCGUGCGAACUGUUUUGCUUGAGCACUGUAGAGGCAGGCGGAAUUCCGGGUGUAGCGGUGGAAUGCGUAGAGAUCCGGAAGAACACCGGUGGCGAAGGCGGCCUGCUGGGCAGUGGCUGACACUGAAGCGCGACAGCGUGGGGAGCAAACAGG
rnacentral:rRNA from 1 species